GGGAAUGUGGCUUAGUGGUAGAGUGCUUGCUUAACAUGCAUGAAGCCCUGGGUUCAAUUCCUCAGUACCA
rnacentral:tRNA from 1 species